GGGUGCGAUCAUACCAGCACUAACGCAUCGGAUCCCAACAGAGCUCCGAAGUUAAGCGUGCUUGGGCGAGACUAGUACUAGGAUAGGUGACCUCCUGGGAAGUCCUCGUGUUGCACUAC
rnacentral:rRNA from 1 species